UUCGCCUGUGCUAUACACACCUGCUGUAGUUCUAUGCGCUCUCAGGCACUCUGUAGAGCUGCAUAACACCCAGCACGGAGCAGCACACGAUGCACUUCCACUACAUGUACUUGCACAGCCACAUAUGUACAUAUACUCACUUUAUAUAAGAAACAUGUAAGUAUAUAUGCAAAUAAGGCUAUAUGUGCUCAUGUACACCUACUUUUCAAUGUAAGCAGGAUGUUUAUUUGCAAGUAUACAUGCGUGGCUUUACCUGCUCCCCCCUGCAGUCACCUUUUAUAGACCAACAGCCAUGGAGAUGCAGUUCAGUCAGGUUCAGACAUCCUUUCAUAUUCAUGUAAGUAUAAAGUAGUAAUAGGUGGCCCCACAUAAUGCUUAAUUGCAGUGGUGAUAAUUACAGAUUGUGUUACACUGUGUUAUAUAUUGUAUAUGACAUAUAAUGAUGUGUGAUACAUACAGAAUCAGUUAUAUUGUGUCUGUGUGUAUAUAUGAUGUGUGAAAGCCCUCUCACCCUCUCUAUAAAUGCAUGAGUACAUUUAUGUGCUCUCUGCCAUCUCGGAUACCAUUUUUCAUACCUACAAUAGAAAGCACAGUGGAUAAUGCAUUAGCUGUUCAGCAGCUGUGUAUACUAAGCUGUACUCACACUGUCUUGCAUGUGAUAUAAUAUAUGUUUAGGUAUUGUGGUUUUAUGUGUAUAUGUGAAGCAUCUCUCACACACAGCUGAUUUUUAUGUACACAUUUAGACUCACUCCACACAUUUUUGUCAUAUAUGUGUGUAUUUGUAUAUCUAGAUGGAAUUUUACAUACUCAGGCACACAAUACAUAUAUAAAACAGAGCUGUAUCUAAUGCACAAAAACAAACACACACUCUCACCCCCCCCGCCUUGGUUAUGUGCCUGCAUACACUCUCAGGUGCCCAAUCUUUGCUAUAUGCAAAGCUGUAGUAUGCUAUAUUGCACAGAAUACACAGCAGACAACAUGGCAGGUAAUAUAUGUAUGCUCACACUAUUAAUUGCUAUACACAUCAGUGUUGUCCCACCGCUGUAUGCACCCACAUGCUGUGCUCCCAUGGCCACAGCCCUGGCACACCCAGCACAGCAGGAAGGACAGGUUUCCUGAGGUCGCAGCUGUUUCACCCGCAUGGAGAUUUCUUCCCUUUGUGCCACCUUUGUUCUGCAGUGAUGAAGCAGGCCUGACUCACCUGCACCUCCCUCUGCAGCUGAGGGGAAGGUUUGUGGGGUGAUGGAGAGCAAAGGGAGAUGCACAGUUUUAGUAUUUCCUUUAUUAAAGCUACAACAAGUUAAAAACCACUACAACGUUCACAUAUGGCUAGCACGUUUCUAAUCUAAUUGAACAAGGAUAUGCCCCUGCCCCAGCAGGUACAGGAGCACUGGCAUUUCUCAUCUGCUAGCUACUUUAAGACUACAGACAGUGCCUCCACACCAUCAAGCACCAUUAGAUCUCACAUGGCAGCUUGGAACAGUUCCUCAACUUGUAUUGGAAGACAAUGCUUAAAUUUCCAGUGCAUGUGCAAAGUUCUUUCAAGAUCACGGAUUAAUCUGUACCCACCACAUCCACAGCUGAGCACGAGGAAGGCAGCUGUAAGGAGCUGUCAUGAGAACCUGGAUGAAUCUCCUGCACUCGCUCCAGAAUUUCUGAAGAGGAAAGUUUCUCACCCUUGUCGUGGUAGCAGACACCUACUCAAGUCCCACACAUCAAAAUAUUUACAUAGAAUUGGACACAAUUUAGUUCUAGUAGGAAUUAGUGUUUGACUCCCUUGCUGAUGCCAGCAGCUGCCAGGCAGGGCAGUCCACAGCACUAUUCUGCAGCAGGAGAUUCCAACACUUCCAUUUUUUCCUUUAAAAAAAAAAAAGUCACCAGCAUCCGUGGUGUAAACAAGUGCAGCACAACCUCUGUUCUGGUUGUGGCUCAUCAGUCAAUCUCCUCUUUGAUGGGGGUACAACCCGAGAAGAAGCUGGUAUUGCUACUCAGCAUUCUCUUCUUUUUCUUCACAAAUGGCAGCUGGUUCUCCUGGGACUCCUCAUCCCUCACCAGCAGGGAAGCAGCAGUGCUGGGCUUCUUCAUGAACACACCUUGGUCUGUGAUAUCUUUCAGGACCUUCAUAGUCGGAGGGGAAUACACGGGCUGAAAGAAGGUCUCUCCUGCAGUCACAUCACGGAGGUCUUCCAGUUUGAAGGAACCUUCCGAGUCCUUUGUUUGGUCCUCACACACGGUGGCGUCCUGGAAACCAGGAUCUCUGUUUCUGCACUUGGUUGAGUCACAGCUGCAGCCCGCAGUGCAGCCCACCUUCUGCUUCCUGCAGCCACACUGCCUGUUCCCACAUCGACCCUUGCAGAAGCACCCUGUUGCGCUCUUCUUUGUUCCUUUGGCUGCUUUUACUGGAACCCACUCGGCAUCCUCCUCCUCUCCAGACUCUUCUGAGUCAGAAAACAGCUCUUCCACAUUCAUUUCUGGGGUUGGUGCACGUGGUUUUGCCACUGUUUGCCGGCGAGUCUUUGGUUUGGGUGGAAUGUAAUCGAAAGGAGAGUCCGGGGACUCAGGUGACACUUGCUGAUCGCGUCGGAGCUUCUGUCCACUGGCAACUUGGACAAGCAGCAUUUUCUGUUUAAGAACAUCAUUUUCCUGGAGAAGCUCUUGGUUCUUCUCACAGAUCUCCCUCAUUUUCUCCAGCUCUUUCUCCUGGAACUUGAGUCUCUCCUGCAUCUGUUUC
rnacentral:lncRNA from 1 species